CGACUCCUCCUUCCUCUCCUCUCUCCUCCUCUCAGUUGGCACUGCGACUCCUUGCCGGGACGGUAUAUACAGAGCAAGGACCGGUGGUGGAUGGGGAAGGGCAGUAGCCGCAUCAGCAGCAGCAGUCGGGCGCACCGACCGAAGCAUGCUCCAGCGCAGCCAUGACUUGCUCGGCGUCAGAUAGCGAGAAGAUCGUGAUCAACUGCGGCGGGAUCCGACACGAGACCUACCGGAGCACCCUCAAGACGCUGCCGGGGACGCGCUUGUCUUGGCUGACCGAACCCGACGCCUACAGCAACUUCGACUACGAUCCCAAGUCCGACGAGUUCUUCUUCGAUCGCCACCCUGCCACCUUCGCCUUUAUCCUUAACUACUACCGUACCGGUAAGCUCCACUGCCCCAAUGAUGUGUGUGGGCCGCUCUUCGAAGAGGAGCUUGCCUUCUGGGGCAUCGAUGAGACGGACGUGGAGGCGUGCUGCUGGAUGAACUACCGGCAGCAUCGCGACGCCGAGGAAGCCCUGGACAGCUUCGAGCAACCCGAGCCGGACGCUCCCGAGGAUGAUCCUGCGCUCACCGGCGGGGCGGAUGGCGACCUGAAGCGGCUGUGCAUGCAGGAGGACGGCCGGAGGGCAACGUGGUGGGACGCGUGGCGACCGUUUAUGUGGGCGCUGUUUGAGGACCCCUACUCCUCCAAAUACGCCCGGUAUGUGGCGUUUGGCUCGCUCUUCUUCAUCCUCCUUUCCAUCUCCACCUUCUGCCUGGAGACCCAUGAAGCCUUCAACACCAUCUACAAUAAAACAGAGAACGUCACACUUGGAAAUGUGACGCAUGAGGAGAUCGUUUAUGAGGUAGUCACAGAUGGCUGGCUGACAUAUGUGGAGGGUGUCUGCGUCAUAUGGUUCACCAUUGAGGUGAUGGCGCGUGUCGUCUUCUGCCCUGACAAGGCAGAGUUCUUCCGCAGCGCCCUUAACAUCAUAGACUUUGUGGCCAUCGUGCCCUUUUACCUAGAGGUGGCGCUAAGCGGCCUCUCCUCCAAAACAGCCAAAGACGUGCUGAGCUUCCUGCGUGUGGUGCGCUUUGUCCGUAUCCUGCGUAUAUUCAAGCUGACUCGCCACUUUGUUGGUUUACGGGUCCUGGGCCACACUCUGCGGGCGAGCACUAACGAGUUCCUACUGCUCAUCAUCUUCCUGGCGCUGGGCGUCCUCAUCUUUGCUACCAUGAUCUACUAUGCCGAACGUAUCGGUGCCGACCCAGAUGAUCCGACAGCUGCGGCCCACACCAACUUUAAGAAUAUCCCCAUCGGGUUCUGGUGGGCUGUGGUGACCAUGACCACGCUGGGCUACGGGGAUAUGUACCCCGAGACAUGGUCAGGAAUGCUGGUGGGUGCCCUCUGCGCCUUGGCUGGUGUGCUGACCAUCGCCAUGCCUGUGCCCGUCAUCGUCAACAACUUCGGCAUGUACUACUCCCUGGCCAUGGCAAAGCAGAAGCUCCCCAAGAAAAGGAACAAGCACAUCCCCCGAGCGCCACAGCCCGGCAGCCCCAACUACUGCAAGCCAGAUGCCCUGGCCAUGGCAACCGCCUCGCCACACAGGCUGAUGGGCAAUGUGCUUGGGCCAGGCAUGGUGGGAUCAGGCAGCAUGAUGGGUACUGGAGACUGCCCACUGGCACAGGAGGAGAUCAUCGAGAUCAACAGGGCAGAUUCCAAGCAGAAUGGCGAUGCAGCAGCUAAUGCGGCCCUGGCCAAUGAGGACUGCCCCACCAUUGACCAGGUCCUAGGAGACGAGCGUAGCCCGGCCACCGGGGGCCUUGGCUCCACCACCAGCCGGGAGCGCUACCCGCAUGACCGGGCCUGCUUCCUGCUGAGCGCCGGGGAGUUUCAGCGCACGACAGACGGGAACGUUCGGAAAGAGAACUGUUCUGAAAGCCCUGCGCUUAUCAGAUAUAUGCAAAAAGAAGCAGUAACUGUGAACUAAUGCUAAGACAUGAAAAAAAAACAAAUCCAGCUUCUUCCAUCAUUGUCUCAACUCCUCUUCUACAAGAGAGAGGAGAGACCAUUCUCCUCUCAAGAUACCUCCUCACCAAAAUGUCCCUUUCCAUCUUCUCAUUCAUCUGCUUCUUCAUUAUCUGUCCGUGAUUCAUCCUGACCAUGUCAUGUUUCAUUUCCUUCUUUCCGCUUCUAUUCUCUACACUUGCAUUUAAACUGCAGUGAGUUCAAAAGGAUACCUCUGCAAUGUGAGAAUGCAAUGAUUCAAUACAAGCUCCCAUAAAGGAUGAUCAGGGUCAAAUUAGCCAGCCAGGGGGGGCCUCGGGUAAAACUGAGCUGCAAGCCCCUUUUGAGCAUAAUCUGUUUCUCUGUGUUAGCUUGAUUAAAUUCAAGAAUCCUCAUCCUUUUCCAUUGAAAACCUGAAAUAUUUCCAUCAAAGCAGAAUAUAAAAUUGUGUGGCUUUACUUUCAGUCGCAUCAUCAUGACAACCAGUGACAGCGGAAAGUCUUGACAGAUAAUCAGUCCGUUUUCUCUAAUUCUAAAAACCUUACUAUAAAUGGACUUGAAAAACCUUGCUAGCCUAGCAACAUUAAUGCUACAAACAACCCAUUAUGCAACAUUCUCUGUAGGAACCUACAAUACUCUCUUAAUUCAAAAAAUAAAUCUGAUCUUAUGAAUAUGCGUGUAUGAAUGUCUAGUCCUCAAAUAUAAUGUGACCGCCACUUUAUCAAACAUAAUUUCUUAUGUUUUAUUUUGCCCAAUCCAGUUUCAGCUGAAAAAUCAGCUAAAAAGGCCCCAGGGAUUGGUAUCAUUACUUCAUUUGUAUAAUGUAUACUGUUGAAACAAGUCAGUAAGUGUGAACCAUUGUUAGUUAGAUAUGCAAUCGAAAGCAGAUUGAUUGGACUGGAUGGUCAAAAAGGCGAGAUUAUUAAAAAGAUUUUAAUUACUUCAUUGUUGGCAACACACCUGCAAGAGAAAUGGCAGACAGAUUGGGUUUCGCGGGAUUAAUGUUAUUUCUAAUGAUAUAUUACUCUUUAGUGGUGCAUGUGACCAAACAAAUUGGUAUUUUAUGCUUUUAUUUUUUGUACCCCAAAAGAUCUUUGAAGAAGUUGCAUUAAAAACCCAGUUGGUAACCACACUGCAGAGGCACCCUUCAAAAUUCAAACAACUUUUUGUAUUUCUUUUUUAUUUCCCAAGCUUCUGCCCCUUGUUGCCAACGUUUCUCUUUUUCCUAUCCAUUCACAACUCAGGUAUCUCUUCUCAAUCUGUGCCCCCCUGUGUUUCUGUUUAUCCAUGUUUCCUCAAAGAUGUACUGUAUGUAUGAAAAACGGAGAUAUACGAAAAAAGUAGAGUGCUCCUAUCAUUUCUGUCCCUGUGAAUGCCAUGUGCUUGGUUUUGUGGCUCUUGCCCCACUCCUUCAAAAUGCUAUAUUUUUUGUUGCUUUCCUUGUCCAACUGUGCUUCCUGUCUUCUCCUUCUGUUGUUUCCUUGUCUUUCCACCCUCUCUCAAUAACUGUGUCCCUCUUUCUGUGAGACUUUAUCCCCCCCAAUGCACCAUCCAUCCCCCCACCCUGAAGUCUCUCACAGCAAAAACCAAAAAGGAAAUAAGUAAAAUUGGAGCACAUUUGCACCUACAAAAAAAGGCCAAACACUGGAUUUCACCAAGGAGGAAGACAGGAACGGACAUUUAAAUGAAUGAAAAAGGCUGCAGUGAUAAAUUGUAUAUGGGGAGGAGGGGAAAUGUGCUAUGAAAUGAUUUGUUGUGAGUGGAUUGUCAGCCGAGCAGCAUCAGAGGGAGGAGAUGGAGGAGGAAAAGUUUGGGGAAGACAAAAGUGUGGUGAUGAGGAGGAUGAAAGAAGCAAAAUCGCUUCUCCAUUGCUGAGUUUCUAAACCCACUCUGUCAAGAAGAGGAAAACCAUGAACUUUGAAACCGCUGCUCCUCCAUCUCCCCCAACGGGAUUUACUGUAGAAAAGGGAAGGAGAUAGACUGAAAGA